AACGAACGCUGGCGGCAUGCCUAACACAUGCAAGUCGAACGAGACCUUCGGGUCUAGUGGCGCACGGGUGCGUAACGCGUGGGAACCUGCCCUUAGGUUCGGAAUAACUCCCCGAAAGGGGUGCUAAUACCGGAUAAUGUCUUCGGACCAAUGAUUUAUCGCCUUUGGAUGGGCCCGCGUUGGAUUAGCUAGUUGGUAGGGUAAAAGCCUACCAAGGCGACGAUCCAUAGCUGGUCUGAGAGGAUGAUCAGCCACACUGGGACUGAGACACGGCCCAGACUCCUAAGGGAGGCAGCAGUGGGGAAUAUUGGACAAUGGGCGAAAGCCUGAUCCAGCAAUGCCGCGUGAGUGAUGAAGGCCUUAGGGUUGUAAAGCUCUUUUACCCGGGAUGAUAAUGACAGUACCGGGAGAAUAAGCUCCGGCUAACUCCGUG
rnacentral:rRNA from 1 species